CAUAUUUAUACAGUAUUGAUUAUGAACUUUGACAUACAUUGGUUAUAAUGUGCUUACAAAAGAUAAAUGUUGCUAAAAGCGGAAAUAGCUGAUCUUGCAAAAGACCACGGUUAAUGUUAGUUUGCGGAUGCGUCUGUUGAUUCAAAAGCAGAAGUGAUAAAUCAAAAAUAACCUGUGGUUUGUCUAGUUUUUAGCUCUUGUGUAAAUCUUAAGAAAGAGAAUAUAAUAUCAGAAAUUAUAGAUGAGAAUCAUUAACCCCUUCCCUUCAUUCCCCUCUUUGAGCAAGACCUUGCUCAUACCCCAUUUGGGUUGUUUUAGCCAGGGUAGCUGUUCAUGGUAUAUUCAGAAUUGCUAGCCAAUUCUGCAGGACUUUCAUUAUUUCUUCGGCCACUAUUCCCAUGGCAUAUACCCUGGCUAACAUAGAUCACAUGUAGAUAUUUUGGGGAGUAUAGCUAUCAUGCAUGUAGAAUUGUAAGUAUUCCGCAUACACUGGUGGUGGAGGUAGUGGACGUGAUGGGGGUGUGUGUUUGUAGAUGCAGAAUAUCACUCUUACAAGUACAUAAAAGAAGAGAGAGAUAGAAGCCCCCAUAACCAAGAUCAGACCUAUGGUUUUUACUGAAUUAAGGAUAGAAGAGAAAUUAAACCAAUCACCCCAGUAAUUAUCUACUCCAGAGUUACUCUUUAUUUCCUUUGCCAAAUCUUCUAAUUUCUGUAUUGCUAAUGUUACUUUUCCAUUGGGGCCAGUGUUCUGAGGGAUAUAGGUGCAACAUACUCCUGAGGCAAUGUAUU